GUCUACGGGCCAUACCACCCUGAACGCGCCCGAUCUCGUCUGAUCUCGGAAGCUAAGCAGGGUCGGGCCCGGUUAGUACUUGGAUGGGAGACCGCCUGGGAAUACCGGGUGCUGUAGGCU
rnacentral:rRNA from 1 species